rnacentral:rRNA from 1 species
CACGUAGGGCGCAAGCGUUGUCCGGAAUUAUUGGGCGUAAAGAGCGUGUAGGCGGCCAGGUAGGUCUGCUGUGAAAACUCGAGGCUCAACCUCGAGACGUCGGCGGAAACCAUCUGGCUAGAGUCCGGAAGAGGAGAGUGGAAUUCCUGGUGUAGCGGUGAAAUGCGCAGAUAUCAGGAAGAACACCCGUGGCGAAGGCGGCUCUCUGGGACGGUACUGACGCUGAGGAGCGAAAGCGUGGGGAGCGAACAGG